CGUGCCAGCAGCCGCGGUAAUACGGAGGAUCCGAGCGUUAUCCGGAUUUAUUGGGUUUAAAGGGUGCGUAGGCGGCCUUUUAAGUCAGCGGUGAAAGUCUGUGGCUCAACCAUAGAAUUGCCGUUGAAACUGGGGGGCUUGAGUAUGUUUGAGGCAGGCGGAAUGCGUGGUGUAGCGGUGAAAUGCUUAGAUAUCACGCAGAACCCCGAUUGCGAAGGCAGCCUGCCGGCCCCACACUGACGCUGAGGCACGAAAGCGUGGGUAUCGAAC
rnacentral:rRNA from 1 species